CCUACGGGUGGCAGCAGUGGGGAAUAUUGGGCAAUGGAGGCAACUCUUACCCAGCAAUGCCGCGUGAAUGAAGAAGGUCUUCGGAUUGUAAAGUUCUUUAAUUGGGGACGAAAAAAAUGACGGUACCCAAGGAAUAAGCCCCGGCUAACUACGUGCCAGCAGCCGCGGUAAUACGGAGGAUGCGAGCGUUAUCCGGAUUUAUUGGGUUUAAAGGGUGCGUAGGCGGUAUUUUAAGUUAGUGGUAAAACGUCGGGGCUUCACCUUGAUUGGCCAUUAAAACUGGAGUACUAGAGUACAGACGAGGUAGGCGGAAUAAGUUAAGUAGCGGUGAAAUGCUUAGAUAUAACUUAGAACCCCGAUAGCGAAGGCAGCUUACCAGACUGUUACUGACGCUGAAGCACGAGAGCGUGGGUAGCGAACAGGAUUAGAUACCCCAGUAGUC
rnacentral:rRNA from 1 species